GCUGUUUCUUUCCUUGAAGCCUGUUCUCCAUUGAUUUUUUCACUAGAUUAAAGCUUUUCCAUCGGGAAUCAAAUUCAUGUUUGUGAGAUCCUUGGAACUGCAAAACAUCACUAAUUAUCUUUAUUAUUAGAAAUAAAGACUUGGUAUCAUCUUCUGAAUUAUCAAGUAUAUAACGCAACAAUUUCCUUGUAACCCUUGCAAUAGUUUCACGAUAAUUCUCUCUUGAUAAAUC
rnacentral:lncRNA from 1 species